CAGGAAGCCUUUUCCACCACAAGAGCAGCACGUCAUCCCUACUUUCUUGAACAUGCAUCAGUGGGAGCCUACUCCUUGUUGAAACUGCUUGUCCUACCUCUGGGUAGGUCUCCUUCAUCCGUUUAUGGAUUAGUUAAACUAAUAUUGAUGAAGCACCUAAGGAUUACCUGGGUAUCCUUUACCAGUUGGAGAACCCUCAUUCUGUGCUAAAUACAUCUGCUUCCGAUUCUGUUCCUCGUAUGAAAUAUGGAAUGAUUUUCAACCAGGAAGAUUUUAUCUCAUUUUUUUUAGGUGGUAAAUAUCAUCAGACUGGGGAUAAGUCAACUCUAUGCUCUGUUGAUCAAGCUAUCCCAGAGGUGGUCUGUACCAGCACUCUUCACAAUAGCCAAGAGAUGGACACAAUCCACAUGCCCACCAGCGGAGGAAUAGAUGAGCAGACUCUGACAGACUGCCAACACAUCUGGGCCUCUGCCCAAGCAUCUGGCAGCAUAUCUAGCUAACUGCGUACCUUCAGCCACUGUGAAAACCCCUGCACCCCAUACUCAAAGUCAAGACUGGCGAGGAGAAAGGUCAAGGGGGAGACUCCUGUGAAUGCAUUAAAACCAGAAAGAAUGUGAUUUGUCAACCGGAAAACAUCCUGCUUACCUCUGUGCGUAGCCAUGUGUGCCAUUUUGUCCACCCACAGUGCUCUUUGCCCUUGUCUCUGCCAGUCCAAGCCCCUCACCAAACCCCUGCAGAACCCCGUGAGAAUUCACAGCCUCCAGCUGACAGACCACCUCUCUGCCCUAGCUCCUGCAUCUCUCUGCCAUUCUACAGGAGAGAACGUGGAUCCGGUCAGUGUGUGUGUCCCCUUGCUUUGUGUCUGGAAGGUUGCAUCUUCUACGUUGUGCACGUCUUCUAAAACUUCAGGUGCUGUGCAUCAUGCAUGGUGGACGCUCCGCGCGCACUGAUGAACCUUCACUGACCCAGAAUGCCAGCAGUCCUGGCGUGAGUGACGUGAGUGUGGACAGACUGCUGCGUGUCCGCUGUGUUGCUGUCCCUUCAGCCACGUGGCCACUGUGCCUCACACAGAGACGAAAGAAGAAUACUUUUCACUCCUGGUUUUCAGGUGAGGAAAAGGAAACUCAGUUUAAAUAAUUUUGCCAAAGUCGCACAGCCCUUAAGUCACCCCAUCAAGAUUAAACUGGGUGCCUGUUCAUUGUAUGCGGAUGGGCCGUGUUUUCAGUGUUAACUGAGGGGACUCUAGGUCUCAGGUGUG